UCUAUCAAAGGAGAAUAGUUACCCCACUGGUCUUAGG
rnacentral:tRNA from 1 species